GGUUUUUUAGUGCUACACUCCAACAAUAAAGACUGAGGCAGUUCUUGUGCUGUGUCUGAGUGCAGCAGUGAGUGCAGCUGUGUGUCAGAGGCAGGGAAGGACCAGCAGCCAUGGAUGACGUAUAUAAAGCAGCGGUUGAGAACUUGACAGAGGAACAAAAAAAUGAGUUCAAGGCUGCAUUUGACAUCUUCAUCCAGGAUGCAGAGGACGGCUGCAUCAGCACCAAAGAGUUGGGAAAGGUGAUGAGGAUGCUGGGACAGAAUCCCACCCCUGAAGAGUUACAGGAGAUGAUUGAUGAGGUGGAUGAGGAUGGGAGUGGCACAGUUGAUUUUGAUGAGUUCUUGGUUAUGAUGGUCCGCUGCAUGAAGGAGGAGAGCAAAGGAAAAUCAGAGGAGGAGUUGGCUGAACUGUUCCGCAUGUUUGACAAGAACGGAGAUGGCUACAUAGACUUAGAAGAGCUGAAGACCAUGUUGGAGUCCACUGGAGAGGCCAUCACAGAAGAUGACAUUGAGGAGCUGAUGAAGGAUGGAGAUAAAAACAAUGAUGGGAAAAUUGAUUAUGACGAGUUCCUUGAGUUCAUGAAAGGCGUUGAAUAAAGGAUUCAGCUGGAGGCCUCACAACGCAGUAUCUUCACUUUCCAUUGACUUCAUCAUCAUCUCUGGCCAUUCCUGAAGACAUGGCUCUACCUUUUUUCUGCGUUUACCAAACCCAAUCAACACACCUGUUCUCAGCCUGUCCCAUCACACAGAGGCCCUGAAAGAACAGCAAGAGAACAACAUGGAGUGUUGGAGUACAUCAAUGCUACAUACAACAUUCCUGGACUGCCAUCUAGUGUACAAGCCCACUGUAGUAGCCUUAUGUUAUUAGAUAACAGCUGUGUUUCAGGCAAUGUUUGGGACACUACACAUUGGAAUAAAACUUCAAACAUUUAAUUUA